rnacentral:rRNA from 1 species
GAUAACGCUGGCGGCGUGCCUAAUACAUGCAAGUCGAGCGAACAGACGAGGAGCUUGCUCCUCUGACGUUAGCGGCGGACGGGUGAGUAACACGUGGAUAACCUACCUAUAAGACUGGGAUAACUUCGGGAAACCGGAGCUAAUACCGGAUAAUAUAUUGAACCGCAUGGUUCAAUAGUGAAAGACGGUUUUGCUGUCACUUAUAGAUGGAUCCGCGCCGCAUUAGCUAGUUGGUAAGGUAACGGCUUACCAAGGCAACGAUGCGUAGCCGACCUGAGAGGGUGAUCGGCCACACUGGAACUGAGACACGGUCCAGACUCCUACGGGAGGCAGCAGUAGGGAAUCUUCCGCAAUGGGCGAAAGCCUGACGGAGCAACACCGCGUGAGUGAUGAAGGUCUUCGGAUCGUAAAACUCUGUUAUUAGGGAAGAACAAAUGUGUAAGUAACUAUGCACGUCUUGACGGUACCUAAUCAGAAAGCCACGGCUAACUACGUG